rnacentral:lncRNA from 1 species
CUUCACAGCUGACAUCUACCAUGUCACUCUGAAACUUCUCCCUGAGAAACUGGGCAAAUGAUACUUGAGAAGAAGUGAAGAAAAAUACAAACUAAAUGAAUAUUGUAGGAAGCCAGAAAUGCUAACAACAAGACAGAAAAGUAUCUGUUUCAGGCCCAAACUGGAAAACUCUGAGAAAGCACAAAGGCUUUUGCAAAUAUCACAGUGGAAAUCAUUUUGAGGUCUCUACACUGCAUUAUAAUCAUGACAGACCUACCUGGCAGACCAAAAAAUCUGAUCUCUCAAAACAUCUGGACAGCAAUCAAAGAACACUGCUACAAGGUAUUCCCAUGCCCUUUCCCACUCAUUCUCUGUUAAGGAAAGGAUGCCAGAGAAUUCUUUACAUAUGGGUUUAUCUUUUAGGAGUUACAGUAAACUCCUCCUUCAGAAAACAUUACCACAGUUGCUUUUAAUCCCAUUCAGGAACCAAGGACUGAAUGGACAUGAAACUUAAAUGUCUUUUCACAUUUACUUAUAG